rnacentral:rRNA from 1 species
CUCAGAAACGAACGCUGGCGGCAGGCCUAAUACAUGCAAGUCGAGCGCGCCCUUCGGGGUGAGCGGCGGACGGGUGAGUAACGCGUGGGAAUAUGCCCUUCUCUAAGGAAUAGCCUCUGGAAACGGAGAGUAAUACCUUAUACGCCCUUUGGGGGAAAGAUUUAUCGGAGAAGGAUUAGCCCGCGUUAGAUUAGGUAGUUGGUGGGGUAAUGGCCUACCAAGCCUACGAUCUAUAGCUGGUUUGAGAGGAUGAUCAGCCACACUGGGACUGAGACACGGCCCAGACUCCUACGGGAGGCAGCAGUAGGGAAUCUUAGACAAUGGGGGCAACCCUGAUCUAGCCAUGCCGCGUGUGUGAUGAAGGCCCUAGGGUCGUAAAGCACUUUCGCCAGAGAUGAUAAUGACAGUAUCUGGUAAAGAAACCCCGGCUAACUCCGUGCCAGCAGCCGCGGUAAUACGGAGGGGGUUAGCGUUGUUCGGAAUUACUGGGCGUAAAGCGCACGUAGGCGGAUUAGUAAGUUAGAGGUGAAAUCCCAGGGCUCAACCCUGGAACUGCCUUUAAUACUGCUAGUCUUGAGUUCGAGAGAGGUAAGUGGAAUUCCGAGUGUAGAGGUGAAAUUCGUAGAUAUUCGGAGGAACACCAGUGGCGAAGGCGGCUUACUGGCUCGAUACUGACGCUGAGGUGCGAAAGUGUGGGGAGCAAACAGGAUUAGAUACCCUGGUAGUCCACACCGUAAACGAUGAAUGCCAGACGUCAGCAAGUAUACUUGUUGGUGUCACACCUAACGGAUUAAGCAUCC